rnacentral:rRNA from 1 species
UACAGAGACCUCAAGCGCUAUCCGGAAUCAUUGGGCGUAAAGCGUACCGAUAGGUGGUUUAGAAAGUCAGAAGUGAAAUCUCCGAGCUUAACUCGGAAUCUGUCUUUUGAAACUUCUAAACUAGAGGGGCAAAGAGGAAGCUGGAACGAACGGUGUAGUAGUGAAAUGCGUUGAUAUCGUUCGGAACACCAAUAGCGUAGGCAGGCUUCUGGGUGCCACCUGACACUGCUAGGACGAAAGCGUGGGUAGCGAAUGGG